CCUACGGGCGGCUGCAGUGGGGAAUAUUGGACAAUGGGGGCAACCCUGAUCCAGCCAUGCCGCGUGUGUGAAGAAGGCCCUCGGGUUGUAAAGCACUUUCAGUGAGGAAGAACGCCUGGUGGUUAAUACCCAUCAGGAAAGACAUCACUCACAGAAGAAGCACCGGCUAACUCCGUGCCAGCAGCCGCGGUAAUACGGAGGGUGCGAGCGUUAAUCGGAAUUACUGGGCGUAAAGCGCGCGUAGGUGGCUUGAUAAGCCGGUUGUGAAAGCCCCGGGCUCAACCUGGGAACGGCAUCCGGAACUGUCAAGCUAGAGUGCAGGAGAGGACGGUAGAAUUCCCGGUGUAGCGGUGAAAUGCGUAGAGAUCGGGAGGAAUACCAGUGGCGAAGGCGGCCUUCUGGACUGACACUGACACUGAGGUGCGAAAGCGUGGGUAGCAAACAGGAUUAGAUACCCGAGUAGUC
rnacentral:rRNA from 1 species